AACGAACGCUGGCGGCAUGCCUAACACAUGCAAGUCGAACGAGACCUUCGGGUCUAGUGGCGCACGGGUGCGUAACGCGUGGGAACCUGCCCUUAGGUUCGGAAUAACUCCCCGAAAGGGGUGCUAAUACCGGAUAAUGUCUUCGGACUAAAGAUUUAUCGCCUUUGGAUGGGCCCGCGUUGGAUUAGCUAGUUGGUAGGGUAAAAGCCUACCAAGGCGACGAUCCAUAGCUGGUCUGAGAGGAUGAUCAGCCACACUGGGACUGAGACACGGCCCAGACUCCUACGGGAGGCAGUAGUGGGGAAUAUUGGACAAUGGGCGAAAGCCUGAUCCAGCAAUGCCGCGUGAGUGAUGAAGGCCUUAGGGUUGUAAAGCUCUUUUACCCGGGAUGAUAAUGACAGUACCGGGAGAAUAAGCUCCGGCUAACUCCGUG
rnacentral:rRNA from 1 species